GACGAACGCUGGCGGCGUGCCUAACACAUGCAAGUCGAGCGGAGACAGUGAGUAGCUUGCUAUGAGCUGUUUUAGCGGCGGACGGGUGAGUAACGCGUGAGCAACCUUUCCCAGACAGGGGAAUAACACACCGAAAGGUGUACUAAUACCGCAUAAGACCACGGAAUCACAUGGUUCUGAGGUGAAAGAUUUAUCGGUUUGGGGUGGGCUCGCGUCCGAUUAGGUAGUUGGUGAGGUAACGGCCCACCAAGCCGACGAUCGGUAGCCGACCUGAGAGGGUGAUCGGCCACAUUGGGACUGAGACACGGCCCAAACUCCUACGGGAGGCAGCAGUGGGGAAUAUUGGGCAAUGGAGGAAACUCUGACCCAGCAACGCCGCGUGGAGGAAGAAGGUUUUCGGAUCGUAAACUCCUGUC
rnacentral:rRNA from 1 species